AUUCCAGCUCCAAUAGCGUAUAUUUAAGUUGUUGCGGUUAAAAAGCUCGUAGUUGGAUUUCGGGCGUGGAGGUUCGGUCCGCCGUUUCGGUGUGCACUGUCUUUCUGCGUCUUUCUGUCGGGGACGCGCUUCUGGCCUUAAUUGGCUGGGACGUGGAUUCGACGAGGUUACUUUGAAAAGAUUAGAGUGUUCAAAGCAAGCUAAAGCUCUGAAUACAUUAGCAUGGAAUAACGCGAGAGGACUCGGUCCUUAUUUUGUUGGUCUUCAAGGAUGGAGUAAUGAUUAAGAGGGACAGUUGGGGGCUUUCGUAUUUCAUUGCUAGAGGUGAAAUUCUUGGAUUUACGAAAGACGAACUUCUGCGAAAGCAUUUGCCAAGGAUGUUUUCAUCG
rnacentral:rRNA from 1 species